CGUUUCUCGAUCCCGACAUCACCAUUGUAAGUGUUGAUCCGAUGUGAAUAUGGCAAGAUCACAUCUUUGACCAGCGAGGCCUGGUCCGGCUUCAACCGCCCAAAAUCCGACACCAAGAGGAUGGCAUUCUUAAGGCGAUCCACGACCCGGUACAGCGCAUUCGGGUCCUGAGCAAUGAUUAUGUGAUCCCGCCCAUUGUUCCUCUUCCAAUACUCCUGACCCUCCAACCACUUCACCAGCUCCUCCUGCAUCUCCUCGUCGCUGUACGUCGGAUCCGUCCCGGGAGGCCGGCCCUGAUUCACAAUCAAGCUCAAUGACGAGAACACCGGCACGUAGAAGAGAUCGGCCUCCUCGGGAUCGGUCACCCGAGCGACCGGCGAGCCGGCCUGGGCCCUCUCCAGCUCGGGCCGGUUCAAAUCCGCAAAGAGGUACCACUCCGCCAUGUGCUGGUGCCCGGGGUACUUGAGGGCCGACACGUCGGCAACGUGGGCUCCACCGCGCGCGGCCGAGUGCUCCCGGAUGACGCCGUAGGUGAACCUCUCCGGAACAUCGUACAUGAACACCUUGGCGGGCAGCAAAGGCGGCGCCUUUGCGGGAAAUUCGCCAUGGUCUUCGCCGGAACGGCGCUGAAUUCGGAGGGAAGGAUCGAUUUUGGGAUCUGGGUUGAGGAAGGAAGUGAAGAAGGCGUAGAGGGCGAGGAGGAGGAGGACCAAGAUCAGGGCUUGCUUGAGGAGGGAGGAUUUGCGGGCCAUGGGGAUCGGGAGGGAUGGCUGCGGAGCAGGAUUCGGGGAGGACGAGGAGGUCGGGAUCGCAUUGGAUGGAGGGGAAGUGGGUUUGGGCUUUCUUGAUUUGGCGGAUCGCUCGCUCAUCGGCUCAGCAGCUGGAGCGCAUGGCGGGGUUGCAGAGGCGGUCGGACGGAAAGACAAGACACCAUACGAGGAGGAAGAAGAAGAGGAUGGAGUGUCAUUGGCGUUUGCUCUGUCAUUAUAUACGUUGGGAAUUUUUUGGGAAAGUAGGCUGUGCCUUUUUCCUCUUUUAUUUGUACAGGUAAAAAUAUAUGGCAUUUUCAUCUUUUUUAUGAAUGUUGUUUUGGCACGGAGUUCGUUUUUGGGAAUCAAUCAGCAGCUGAGGUUAGAUUGUGUGAUUAGAAAAUUCAUCGUCCAAUGACCUAUUAAUUCGAUAUUUACAUAUCAAUAUCAUUACUUGCUAGUCAAUGUCGAAAUUUCUUGAAAUUGAGAAAUCGAGGCCGAUUAAAAUAGAUGAAUUUAUUGUAAGUAUAAAUAGUUCCUAACUUUAGUGAUGAAAUUAUCUUUGUAUUAUUACCUGCUUGUGUGCUUGAUUAACUUACAUUAUAUGCGAAAAGUUACUUACCAGGUAGAGAAGUUAUAAACCACUUUGGGUAACUAACUAAUCGAGGAAACUUACUGAUUGUUUGAAAAAACCUUAAUCGAGUGCAAAACCAUAGGGAGUUGACCCCUCCGAUGGAAUAGCAGUAGCAUGUAGAGUUUAAGGUAACAUAAAUAAGCUUGCUCCAUUAGUUUCAAUGCAUAACGCAAACGAAUAUUCAUCUCAAUCAUCCGUUCCCACUUGUGGAAUGGUUUAUGCGGAUGCAAUUCAAACUACCAGCAAAUCUCGAUAUCAUUCAAGAUACAAAAGGAAACUCCCUGUCAUGCAUAUCUUAUUGAUGACAAUCAAUUACAUUGAUUUAUGACUCGUGCACUGGUCGUUAAUGAUCAGAACAACGGGCGGUCUUCUGGAUGAGAGAGUAAGCUGCGGCUACAUAUGUGUCCGAUCAAAUCAGACAAAAGGGGAAAUUGUAGCAAAGCAAACAAGGUCACUGUCCCAGAAGCAAAAGCAGCAAUUGGAAUAGCGAUUCGAGCAUAGUCGUGACCAAGGAAGAUGAAAUGGGUGGCCCCAAAGGCCACCAUCAUGGAAGCUAUGGAGACAAAGAGGCUUCCAAUUCCUAACACCAGCCUGCUUGGCAAUGAAUACAGAAAAUCUUCCUCCGCAUAGCGUGACGUCAAAAUAGAAAGGAACAUCAAAACUGAUGUUGCAGAGGAAAAGACAGCCAAUGCAGUUGAUACGGUGAAAAUCAUAAACAACCUGUUAUGUAGGAAGAUAGGCUUGCCAGUGUUGUUGUCAUUGCCGCCUGGAAUAGUGAAGGUAGCACUGAAUGCCAUGGUGCAAAUGAGUGUAGCAACGACCAUACAUGAAGAUGCAGUGUGCUUCAUCCAUUUUUCUGCUUCUUGUCUAAGUUCUUUGUGCUCCUCGGUAAAAAGAAGAUAAGGUGUUUUCCCCUCGGAAUUUUUCAUUUCUCGAUAAGAAGGCUGCACAAUCACUUCUACCUCCUAUACCAUAAAACAGAUAAUAUCAUUCGGAGAAUUGUACAUUAAAUUGACAUAUUGAACAGAUUUACGUUUUGAAGCUCAAAAAAAAAAAGAAAAAAGAAAAAAAAAGAUCAAGGGGACCUUCAUAGUACUGUUAAACCGUAUAAUCCAAACUGUGUAGUAUGCAAAAAGCAAAAAAUAAAAUAAAUAAAUAACCUUGAACCACAAUAGCUCUUCCUGCAUUUGUAGAGCUGCCCCAGAGUCGAUUUUGAGUUGUAUUCGAGGAGCCAGCUUUCCAGCCAAAUGCAAUAUGUUAUUGUCAUUUUCAUCUUUGUAAGCUGCAAUCAUAUCUUUACGAGCACCAAUGUCAUAUAUUAGCCUAAAGAUCUUCUCGUGACGAUGUGCAACUGCAGCAUGAAAUAUGCUUAGCUUCUGAUCAUCGACUUUCCACAGAAGUUCAGGAUGGAAACGGAUCAGCACAGUUAAGAAGCCAUAAUUUCCAAACUCUGCAGCAGUAAACAACACUGGCGACAGCUCCCUAAGAAGUUCUUCAUCACCGAGAGCAGGAAGUUCUUCAUCACUGCGAGCAGAAACCUUCUUCCGCAUAAGCUCCAACAGCUUAUCUGCUAGCAUAGUCACCGAAUUUGGAUCGCGCGUCUCCUUCGUACCUGCCGCAGUAUUUUCUGUCAGCCCAAAUUGUAAAGAGCUAUGGUUGAACGUCUCAGACUAACUACAAAUUAUAAGAUUAGUGUUUCCCCCGGAACAUUCCUGAACGGACGUCAACAGCAUCUUAAGGUAAAUGCAUAAACGAGAAAUGAAUAUGAUAUCAGCAUGGUGACCCAGCUGGGAACCUCAACAACCAAAAGAAGAUGGCUACGAUAGAUACACCUACAUGAAAAGAAGCGCCUCAGCCGGAUCAGUAGCUGACUCCCACUUGAGAAUGCCGAGGGCAUCCGUGCCAGCACAUGGAGAGCCGUUUCCCCGUUAUUUAUAGAAGACAUGGCUAAUUCGGGAUGUUGAUCAAUCAGCGUCAAAGCCACAUCUGGCAAAGGGGAAUACCAAUUAAAAAUAAUAAUGAAAAAACUUUGUCCUCAAGUAAACUAGCUACAGAUUCUAUCCAGGGUGCGCGGGGAAAGAGAGCAGAAAACAUACAGUUUUGUAUUGGGAAAGAUACAUAUAUUUGGUCUGGAUUGAGCUGGCGAUAAAAGUAGUAUCCACGGUACAUUCAUAUUAGAACUACAGUGGAUUCACUAACCAAAGAGUUUGGAAUUGAUGGUGGCGACGAGGAUAUCGGUGCGAUCCAACAGAGUUAGUUCUUCGUCAUCCGUGACUGACAACAGAUACUGCACCAUGUCUUGUUUUCCUAACUGGGCUGCAAUGUACAAGGGUGUUGCCUCAUUGCUGCCUCGAAACAGUGGAAGCCCAGGAUUCUUAUCAACCAUUGCCUUGGCGAUCUCUGUAACUCCGGAUGCAGCGGCAAGGCAGAGGGCAGUGUUCCCAUGCUUGUUCCUCAUUUCCAAGUCUCUGGGCAUCAUCAUCUUCACCAGCUCCUCAACGAAUUCUCUAUGUCCUGCAACUGCUGCGAUAUGAAGAGCAGUCUCCUUUUCCCCUGUGAUUUCGGCACGUACUGCCGUUCGUUGGUCAGAUAGGAAUUUCUUUCCUGCUUUCCAGUCACCUCUCAGCGCCGCAUUGAGCAAUGGACUGUACCCUGUCGAUUACAUAGAAUUUAGGAUCAGCAGGAGAGGACAGAAGACUAGGUGACCAGGAUGACGCUUCAUAUUUUUCAGAUACCACCUGGUUCACGUUGAUUAUAUCGUUCGUCUGUGGUAGUUUCCGGCGUAGUCCUCUGAAAUAAACAUGCUUUGAAGAGGAGGCCGCCCAUGGAUGGAGGAGUAGAAAUCUCUUCUCUGCUUACGUUCUCUGAAUUCUACAAUGUUCAAAACUUCUAUAAGUAAAAUUCAUUCAUUAACGAGAGUCAUGCAAUCCAUUUGACAACAUAUUUCAUGAGCCCGGGGCUUAAUGUUUUCUGAGCAUUAAAAGAAAGCAACAUUGGUAUAAUUAGCUGGUGCACGAGUGAAAGUGUCAAAGUCCAAAUACGUGCACUGAAAGAUCAAAAAAAAAAAAAAAAUUCCUGUCAUUAAUUAGCAUUGGCUACAUAAUUGAUCAUCAUAUUGGAACGAUAAUACUAUUAGGCGUAGACUUUAGGUACUCCAUGAUGUUUUCAUACCGGUUCAACCUUCACCCCAAUGCGGCAUGGUUUCUUUGAUCUGUCCGAGAUUUAAAACAUUUAAGGAAAGGAUUCAUUCUCAUCGCAAACCUGCUCCAAAGAGAAUCUGGGCCUGUCUUCCCACGAAAUUUUUGAUUAGGAAAGUGUUCUGAAUCCUAAUAAGUUUGCAGGUCGAGCUCUCUGCGAGUUCUGCUUCCGGAUGCACGGAUGAGGUUCACAGUUGUUCGUCUAGAUUGUCACAGAAAGAAAACACAUAUAACUAGCGGAUACUUGAUUUUUACGAAGAAAAAUGGAAUAUGUAGAUACAAAAUGGAUUUAAAUGCACAUUGCAGGUCGCAUCAACAGAAAAAAGAAAUUGCACAUGUCGAAAGAAUCAAAGAAGGUAGGAUCCCUCUUCAAAUCAUUCAAGCUUAAAUCAAAUAUUGUUCCUAUAGAGUUCCAACGAUCUAUGGAAUAAUAGGCAUCAAAAUUUGGGAAUUAGGGGAAUAAGAUACUUUCCUAAUCUUUACUCUUUACACUAGAUCUAUUGUGACAGAUAACUCAAAAGGGACCUAGACCUGCAACGUCGGGGCUUCGACAGGUAAACCACACACACAAACAUAUAAAAGAAAAAGACUACGUAAUCAGAUACAACACAUGAACGUACGUGCUUCGUGAGGAUCCUCUGCCCCGCACGGUGUUUCGAUUGGUGUCUCGACCAGUUCUCGACUGCCGAUGUAUACGAAAACAGGGUAAGCAUUGAAACGACAUAACCCUAUGUCGAGACACGCGAGAGAACAUCGACGGAGGCAGAGGAUCCGGGUCCGUACAAUUUUCUCUCCAGAUGCAAACCUGGGGACGUGCAUGAAUUGAUAUGAACACUACUUCCGGGGACAAAGGCAUUCAUCACCGCGAGCUUAUACGAACUUAUCAUGCAUGCAUUUUGCUUACUUUUUCAAAAAGAGCUUAGUGCUGUCUCUCCCUCAGAGUCUUCUCUCCAGUGCACCAAGCUUUUGCAAUAUGGGGGCAAUAGUCGAGUGUAUACGACUGCAGAUUAUGAGCCUUGGAGAGCUCCUGGAUUUAGCUAUGCCAGUUGCAACAGUUCUGGCAAACGUGAUGAAGUUGACACUGUGGAUGGAGUGAGGGAGAGAGAGAGAUCAUGUGGUAGUGGAAGGAAAGAGGAGAGCAGCGAGCGAGAGUAACCAUGAGGAAAAAGAAGAGCGGGGCUUUGAGAUCUGCUUCGCCGAGUCUCUGUUUUUUCUGGCUCGCUUUCCGUUGAUCGUCAUACGUGGCAGCAUAGGCUUUUGACUAUGACACAACCGCGUCCUUCUUGAAAAGAAACUAGCAAAAUUCUGCAAUAAUAAUGUUUUGUCAACUAGUGUUACAAGGGGACCUUCCCUCAAUAUAUUUAUUACCUUUCACCAAAAAAAAACUAUUGUGGCAAGGAAAUGUGACUAUCCUGUGCAGAUUUCCAAUUUUUGAAUGGAUCAGAGAGACAGAGACAGAGACAGAGAGGGAGAUCGUGUGGUAGUGGAAGGAAAAAAGAGAGCAGCGAGCAGCGAGCAGCGACAUUGACUUUAAGAUUUGUCUGGCAGCGAGUGACGGUGACUUUUAGAUUUGUCUGGCUGAUUGUCCUAUGUGGCAUGGAUUACGUGGCAUGGACUUUUGAUUAUGACACAACCUUGUUCUUCUUAUUAAACAAAACACACAUACUAACUAAUUAUGUAAUAAUUUUUUAUCAACUAGUGUCACAAAGCAAUGUGACUAUCGUGUGCAGAUUUCCAAUUCUUGAAUGGAUGACUAAACGAGACAUUCAAUUGCGAAACUGAUCGACAAAACUUCAAAUUUACCUCUUUCCGGAAACGGUUUCCCAUAAAGAACAACAAAGUCUUGCGUUUCUCGAUCACGAUAUCACCAUUGUAAGUGUUAAUCCGAUGCGAAUACGGCAAGAUCACAUAUUUCACCAGUGAGGCCUGGUCCGGCUUCAACCGCCCGAAAUCCGACACCAAGAGAACCGCAUUCUUAAUGCGAUCCACAACCCGGUACAGCGCAUUCGGGUCCUAAGCAAUAAUAACGUGAUCCCGCCCAUUGUUCCUCUUCCAAUACUCCUGACCCUCCAACCACUUCACCACCUCCUCCUGCAUCUCCUCGUCGCUGUACGCCGGAUCCGUCCCCGGGGGGCGGCCCCGAUUCACAAUCAAGCUCAGCGAGGAGAACACCGGCAUGUAGAAGUGGGCGAGGAGGAGGAG
rnacentral:lncRNA from 1 species